GAUAACGUUGCGAAAGUGACGCUAAUACCGGAUAAUAUCAUAGAGACCUUGGUUUUUAUGAUCAAAGAUGGCCUCUCCUUGGAAGCUAUUGUUUGGAGAUGAGCCCGCGUCCCAUUAGCUUGUUGGUGGGGUAAUGGCCUACCAAGGCUACGAUGGGUAGCUGGUCUGAGAGGAUGAUCAGCCACACUGGAACUGACACACGGUCCAGACUCCUACGGGAGGCAGCAGUGAGGAAUUUUGCGCAAUGGGGGAAACCCUGACGCAGCAACGCCGCGUGAGUGAUGAAGGCUUUCGGGUCGUAAAGCUCUGUCAAGUGGGAAGAACUCCCGUGAGGUUAAUACCCUCAUGGUUUGACGGUACCACUGAAGGAAGCACCGGCUAACUCCGUGCCAGCAGCCGCGGUAAUACGGGGGUGCAAGCGUUAUUCGGAUUUACUGGGCGUAAAGCGCGCGUAGGCGGCCGUUUAAGUCAGAUGUGAAAGCCCGGGGCUCAACCCCGGAAGUGCAUUUGAUACUAUUCGGCUUGAGUAUGGGAGAGGGAAGUGGAAUUCCUGGUGUAGAGGUGAAAUUCGUAGAUAUCAGGAGGAACACCGGUGGCGAAGGCGACUUCCCGGACCAAUACUGACGCUGAGGCGCGAAGGCGUGGGUAGCAAACAGGAUUAGAUACCCUGGUAGUCCACGCAGUAAACGGUGAUCACUAGGUGUAGCGGGUAUUGACCCCUGCUGUGCCGCAGCUAACGCGAUAAGUCGACCGCCUGGGGAGUACGGCCGCAAGGUUAAAACUCAAAGGAAUUGACGGGGGCCCGCACAAGCGGUGGAGCAUGUGGUUUAAUUCGAUGCAACGCGAAGAACCUUACCAGCCCUUGACAUCCUCGGAACUUAGCAGAGAUGCUUUGGUGCCUUCGGGAGCCGAGUGACAGGUGCUGCAUGGCUGUCGUCAGCUCGUGUCGUGAGAUGUUGGGUUAAGUCCCGUAACGAGCGCAACCCUUGUCCUUAGUUGCCAGCACAUAAUGGUGGGAACUCUAAGGAGACUGCCGGUGAUAAACCGGAGGAAGGUGGGGAUGACGUCAAGUCAUCAUGGCCCUUAUGGGCUGGGCUACACACGUGCUACAAUGGUCGGUACAGAGGGUUGCGAAGCAGUGAUGUGGAGCCAAUCCCAGAAAACCGAUCGUAGUCCGGAUUGCAGUCUGCAACUCGACUGCAUGAAGUCGGAAUCGCUAGUAAUCGCGAAUCAGAAUGUCGCGGUGAAUACGUUCCCGGGCCUUGUACACACCGCCCGUCACACCAUGGGAGUUGGUUGCACCAGAAGUAGAUAGCCUAACCUUCGGGAGGGCGUUUACCACGGUGUGAUCAAUGACUGGGGUGAAGUCGUAACAAGGUA
rnacentral:rRNA from 1 species